GAUGAACGCUAGCUACAGGCUUAACACAUGCAAGUCGAGGGCAGCGGGAUUGAAGCUUGCUUCAAUUGCCGGCGACCGGCGCACGGGUGAGUAACGCGUAUCCAACCUUCCGUACACUCAGGGAUAGCCUUUCGAAAGAAAGAUUAAUACCUGAUGGUAUCUUAAGCACACAUGUAAUUAAGAUUAAAGAUUUAUCGGUGUACGAUGGGGAUGCGUUCCAUUAGGUAGUAGGCGGGGUAACGGCCCACCUAGCCAACGAUGGAUAGGGGUUCUGAGAGGAAGGUCCCCCCACAUUGGAACUGAGACACGGUCCAAACUCCUACGGGAGCAGCAGUGAGGAAUAUUGGUCAA
rnacentral:rRNA from 1 species